rnacentral:lncRNA from 1 species
AAAUCAGUAUUUCUCCUGGUUGGAAUGCUUGAUCCUUUCGUGGCUUAACUAGAACUUCAGUCAAUAAGUAGCUAUUAUGUCGAGUAGCUGUAUCUUCAUAAUGCUUUAUUUAUGUUUAGCUUAUCCUUCGGUGUGCUUUGUCAUGAGUGGAGUUUCAGGUUGCUUUAUCUCUAGUUUAAAGCUAGAGUAGCUUCACUGCUUAUGGACCAAAUUAUCUAGUUGUAUCUCUAUUCUACAGAAUCAUAUAUUCGUGUUUGACUGUAGUAUUUAUGCUGGAUACUCUCUCCCUAUUGUGUUAAGUCUGAAACGUUUAUCGCUGGUGGUUGUGUUCAUCUCUGGUUCCUUGCUUUGCUUUAGCUCGCCUUGGAGUUAAGGUGUUACUUUUAUUCUUCAAAUUUGACGGCUUGCAACAGAUGCUAAUCCUGAAACUAUGCACUGAUAGAAGCUUGUUACCGUAGCUGCUUCAAACGGACGGUCAAGUGUAGUCCGCUUCUUUAUGUAACUGGAAUGUGACAUCCUAUGUAUACAUUUGUUUUGACAAACAUUGUUCGUAUGCAUGAUGAAGCUGUGAAUAUGUUUCAGGGUUAGCGUCUGAUGUUUGGUAUGUAGAUUGAUAAAACAGGCAUAGUAGAGGGAACUGAUUAGCCCUUCAAGCCUUUUGGUCUUAAAUUUUGCUAGUACGUUUGCAGUGAUAAAGAGCUUACUAGCAGCAAGAUGGUAGCAUCAACUUCUAAGGUAGUGUAGAUGCCAAAAAAUCAGUGAUGCUACAUGAUGAAUGAUGUACAGGUAGAAACCCUAGAGUACAGUAGCGAGGCAUUUGGCAAGUAAAAUAAUUGUCCUUCCUCCUUCGUUUCGUUUCUGUACAGGUUGCACGUGACGCCAUUCUGUGUAAAGAAUGUCCAAGUGAGGGUGAAAAUGAUAUCGGAAAUCUGCUGGUUUUGCUUGAUGAGCUGAUGAGAAGUUGCGAUUUGAAGCAUUGGCACAGAAUGCAAGCUACUAGCUUUUUAUGUGCUUCAUGUUCUCGAGGAUCUUGCUGUGCUGCAAGGUGGUGGUACGUGGAAACAAAGAUUCAUUGUCUUUCAGUUUUGUUUGGAAAAUCGUUUCGACAUGGUUUUUGUCCUAGUUGGAGAUGAUACCCUGGUUCCUCCUCUGUAGAUUUGGUAUGUCCUGAUAAAGAAGUUAGCUAAUUCACCCUAAUUCACCCUGUGAAGCACCGGAGUCAAGCCUUGUCAAUUUUGGCCCGCAAUAUCUUAUCUAGAAGUCUAGAUUAACGUCAGUAAUAAAUAAAAUACAUGUAGAUUUUGGAAGUAAUUUCCACAUUCUUACACUUAAAUAUUUACUUUUAUCAUACAUAUAAGAUAGUAAAACUAAUUGUGAAAUAUGCUCUAAAAAAGGAGCAAAAACACCAUGGUGCUACCAGCGAUAGCAAUGGUUUUGACACGAUAGUUUUUCUACUGACGUCACUGCUCUAUUGUGUUUUGGACACAAGAUCAAAACGAUUGAAUGAUCGAUCCCUUACACAGAAGAUUUAGCAUUAUUCAUUCCGCACGCUACUCUUUCUUUUUGUUUUUUUUGAAAACCAGGACUUAUUGUAACACACUACUCCCUCCGUUCCACAAUAUAAGACAUAGCUUGCAACAACGUCUUAUAUUAUGGGGCGGAGGGAGUACAUCCUAAAUGGUUAUGCGUUUGAUAGAUUCCGUGGCCUGAAAAUAAAAUAGAAUUCCAUUUGCCUAGUAUAUGCCGACAUAAAAACCAGUGCUCAUUUACUGCUUCACUAUGCCUUGCUCUGCUGCUAAAUCCGUGAAGAUGAAGAUAAUAGAUGGAAAGCAGAAAAUUUGUUCAUCUUUAUAUACUGGCAUUUUAGCUUAGUUACCGGUUAAUCUGUAGUUUAUUUUUUUAUAGCAUACAUAUUUAUGGAAAUACAACCCCCACCGCCCUUCUGCGAGCUUAAAUUUAGUCACUGCAUGCAUUUAGUGCAUCAUUUUAUUUAUAGGUUAAUGUUAUAGUCUCUAGAGGCUUCCUUGUCGGUAUGCAUAUAACGGCUAGAACAUGUGGUAAAGCAUAUUACUCCCUCCGACGGAGGGAGUAUAACUGUAGUUUAGUUAUAUAGGUGUACUCCUUGGUAUGGAAGCUUUGUUGCUUUAUUAGGUUUGCAUAUGCUCCAUUCAGUUAUAACAAAUGAAAUUGUCUGCUUGUGACCGCGAACACUUUUACUCACAUAAUAUACAAGUGCCAUCUAAUUUGUGAAUCACAUAACUUUUCUAACAUGAAUGUACUAGUAAUUAAUAUAACUAGAUCAGUGGCCUUGUGCAAUUCGGUGUUCAAAUCCAUGGUUGACUGCACCAAAUAUCGGUUUAAGCAUCUAAAGUUAAUUUGCCUGCAUGUUGUGGCAAAACCGUAUAGUGGAUUUGAAUGUGUAUGCUCUGGAUAAAAACAGAUUUAUUCUGGACGAUGGUGGGGGCAAAAUUGAUUUUUGCUGAAGAAAUUGUAUCAUAUAUAAUGUGUACUCCCUCCGUAAAUUGUAUCAUAUAAGAAAAGCAUAAUGCUGAGUCUUUGCGAUGCACCCCUCCGUUCACAAAUAUAAGUUUUUUUUGGGUACUUCAAUAUGGACUACAUACGGGCUGAAAUGAGUGAAUAAACACACUAAAAUGUGUCUAUACAUCCGAUUCACAAAAAGUUUGAAAUCUUAUAUUUUGUGAAUGGAGGUUGUAUAUUUUUAUAAAAGCAAAGAAAUAACUUGCAUAAGUGCACCCUGUGUUAGGAUUAACUUGAUUGCAAUCUUGAAAUACUGAAUGAUCGGCGAUGUAAUUCAUGUUUGCUUCAAAAAGAGGCAUCGAAGAUGAAUAACUCUGGAAUGCCACCUUUUCUCAUGUAUAUUCCCCUCAAGAAAAAAGUAGUAUGAAAAUACUGAUUGAUCUCUCUUCAUCUUUUCGAUGUUCAUUUGCAUCUUAUCAAAAAUAUGUGCAAGUCUUCAGAGGUCAAUUAAUGUUUGUAAUUGGCUACAUCCUGCCUCCUGCCUGACAUAUGCUGCUGGACAGGUGCAUUGACCCAAAAGUACAUUAAGCUGGAGACGUGGAGUUUUCACUUUCACAUAUGAAGGUACAUAAGACCAUGGAGGUUGCUAGGAUCUCUUUGUGAAUGAAUUACACUAUGAGCCAGUGCCCAUCAUAUUUGGUUUACUUUCUUGAAAUGCAGAUCGCCGCUCGACCCCUAACGAACUCUAUCCAGAACAAACAACGCUCUCAUCGAUCGGCAGAGAUAUGAGUCUGAUUUACUGUCAAAGAUGGGAAGGUUGCGAGACUUAAUGGUAUUAUUAUGCUAGUAUAGCUGUGCCAUCAGACAUCCAACAUUUUCUCUCUUAUGUAUUUUGGACACUUUGCAAUAGUCUAAACUAACUACUGCAGUUAUUCAAUUGAAAAAUUCAAGUUUCAAGUUUGAAAAAAUGAAGUCACAGUGAAAGGGCAGGGGUUGAUCCGGAACUGGAACGUUAUACGCGGUAUACUAUAGACACAAACGUUGCUAAAAAACUGGAAAUCAAAGGGAUAAAAUAUCCCCAGGCAUGCUCACGGGAUGGAAAAAAAAAUGCAGAGUAAACAGAUCACCCCACGAUUAUUGAAGUUGCCAUUGUAUCCAAAUCAAAGUUGCCACAUGAUAAUUUUGAUACUACAAUAUUUCGUAAAAAUCAGGACUUUCUUUAUCAAACCAUGAGACUUUAGUUUGGAUGAUCUUAUCGAAACAUUGUAUAAUAUGUCUGAGUAGCGGCUUGAGAGGGGACACGGAGUUUAUGCUCCCGGGAUCAUCUGCUCAGGAAAAAAUUUCAAAAUAAAUACUAGAAAAUUCGAAAAAAUUAAUUUUUUUUGUGGGGUAGAUAAUUUGAUGCGUGAGAUCCGCUCUAAAUUUCAACUCAUUUGGACAUCUGAGCAGCUCACGUAUUGUUUUAAUCUGAAUUGUCCUUUUUGUCGAGAGCUGAUCAGAUGUUCAAAUGAGUUGAAAUUUAGAGUGAACUUCACGCAUCGAAUUAUUUACCACACAAUUUUUUGAAUUUUUUAAUAUUUAUUUUCAAUUCUUUUCUGAGCGGGAGCAGAUGAGCCCCUUGAGAAGUACUAAAUCAUGCUCCCUUCGUUCUAAAAUAUUGUGUGCCGGCGUUUUCCGAGGUUAAAUUUUGACCAUAAAUUUAACCAACAAGACUGAUUGCGGUGGAGCAAAAAUUAUAUACUCUCCGUCCUAAAAUAUAAGAACGUUUUUAACACUAGCAUAGUGUCAAAAACGUUUUUAUAUUCUAAAACAGAGAAAGUAUAAUUGAAAACUUUCUUUGAAUAUGAAUUUAUUGGUAUAACUUUUGUUCGCGUCGCUCGUUGAUUAAAUUUAUGAUUAAAGUUGAAGCACGAGAGCCUCUAUAUUUUGAAACGGAGGGAGUAUCAAAGUUUUCGAAAUACUCGUACGUUAUUGUUUUUGUCACUCUAUAUACGUUGGGGCUAUAUUCCAGUCCCUAAAAGAUCACGUGCAAAACAACUUCUCUUGGUUCUCCUCGAAUUGUGACAUAGAAAUAGUCCACCAUCUAUUUGGGCGUAGCUGCCUCAACCUUUCCGUCCCGUUCUUGCCUAGCCAGUUCUCUCGUGCCUCCAUUGCGCGGCCGGGAGGGCGACGUCGCCAGCAGCGCUGCGAGCGACCUCGCUCGGCUCGGCCCGGCCCCGCCGACUGGAACGCACGGGAGACGUGACCAUGGGCACGAUGGGACACCACCAGCGGUCGCGCUCCGCCUCCGGGAGCCCCUCGGCGACGCGCUCAUCAAACGCCACCGAGCUUGACUUCGCCGCCGCCGACCUAGAGUGCCCCUUCGGCGGCAUCGGUGCCCUCGGCUCCGUGGAGCUCCGCGAGACGGCGUACGAGAUUUUCUUCAUGUCCUGCCGCUCCUCCGGUGGCGCUGCAGCGUCGAGCCCCGGGGCGCGGGGCGGCGGCGCGUCGGAGGGGGAGGUGUCGUCACCGGUGGCCGGCGCGGGGGCGAGGGGCGGGAGCGCCGUCAUGAGCAGCAAGGUGAAGAAGGCGCUGGGGCUCAAGCCGAGGCGGUCCGCGCCGACGAUGGUGCGUACCUCGAGCCAGAAUUCAGGCCCGGUCUCUCCCGGCAGAACACGGCGGCCGAUGACGUCGGCAGAGAUCAUGCGGCAACAGAUGCGGGUGACCGAGCAGAGCGACGCGCGGCUCCGUCGAACGCUCAUGCGCGCCGUCGUCGGACAGGUCCGGAUGCGCAUCCAUGCAUGCCGCAUCUGUUGGGAAGAAGCCUGAUUCCAUCCAUGCACGUGCCCCCUGGUCGGUCGUAGUAUUAUCUAUCCAUUUAUUAUUCCACAGGUUGGGAAGAAGCCUGAUUCCAUCGUUCUGCCAUUGGAGCUACUUCGGCAGCUGAAGCCGUCCGAGUUCACCGACGGCGAGGAGUACCACCAGUGGCAGUUCCGGCAAAUCAAGCUCCUAGAGGCAGGCCUCCUUCUGCACCCGUCCCUCCCGCUCGACCGCCUCCACGCCGCCGUGCUCCGUUUCCGCGAGGUGAUGCGCGCCACAGAGAUCCGCGCCAUCGACACGGGCAAGGGCUCCGACGCGAUGCGGGUCCUGACCAACGCCGUGCACGCGCUCGCGUGGCGCCCCGGCAGCGGCAGCGACGCGUGCCACUGGGCCGACGGCUACCCGCUCAACGUGCUCCUCUACGUCUCCCUCCUCCAGACCGUCUUCGACCACAGGGAGCCCACCGUGGUGCUAGACGAGGUGGACGAGCUGCUGGAGCUCAUCAAGAAGACUUGGCCGAUCCUGGGCGUCGGCCGGGCGGUGCACAACGUGUGCUUCGCCUGGGUCUUCUUCCAGCAGUACGUGGUGACCGAGCAGGCCGAGCCAGACCUCGCGUCCGCGACUCUCGCCCUGCUCGCCGACGUGGCGGCCGACGCCAAGCAGGGGAGCCGCGAGUCCCUGUCCCGUGACCCGGUGUACGCCAAGGUGCUCCUCAGCGCGCUCGGCAAGAUGCAGGAGUGGUCGGAGAAGCGGUUGCUGGACUACCACGAGAGGUACGAGAGAGGCACCGGCGGGACUGCCACGGAGGGCAUGGAGAUAUUGCUGUCCUUGGCGCUUGCCGCAGGCAAGAUCGUCGCCGACCGCGAAUACGCGGGCACCGGGAACUUCACCGCCGACCGCGUCGACUACUACAUCAGGUGUUCCAUGAAGAACAUCUUCACCAAAGUGAGCCCAUGCUUCAUCACAAAUCACAUAGGAGAAAAGCACAAACCAUUAGCGCUACCAUCAAGCUGUCGGACAUAAUUUGAUAUGAUCGCCGGACAUGAUAUGAUUCCAGAUACUCGAGAAUGGCAUGCGAGAGGCAGACCCUGCAAACGACCCCGGCGUGAUCCUGACGCGGCUGGCGAGGGAGACGGAGCAGCUGGCCAAGUUCGAGCGCGCCAACUUCAGCCCGCUGCUGAGGCGGUUGCACCCGGCCCCCAUAGCGGUCGCCGCAGUCACCCUGCACGGCUGCUUCGGCGUGGUGCUGAGAGAGUACCUGGGCAAGGUCACCAUCCUGACGGAGGAGCUCGUCCGCGUGCUCCACUCUGCGAAUCGCCUGGAGAAGGCCCUGGCACAGAUGACCGCCGAGGACGCGGCGGACUGCGAGGACGACCGGGCAAGGGCCGUCGUGGGCGACAUGGAGCCCUACGAGGUGGAGUCAGUGGUGAUGAGCUUGCUCAAAGCUUGGAUGGACGACAGGCUUCGGAUCAGCGCGGACUGCCUCCUCAGAGCCAAAGAAACCGAGGUAACACUUGGAUCUCUGGUCGAUGAAGUGAAGCUGGAAUUCGUAGAGCUUGACAUUGUUUUUGUAGAGCUGGAUUCCCAAGUCCAAGGAGGAGCCUUUCCCCGCGUCGGCAAUAGAGUUGAUGAGGCUGUCCAGGGCCACCAUCGACGAGUUCUCUGACAUUCCGGCGACGGCAAAAGACGACGUGGUUCAGGCGCUCGUCGACGGCCUCGACUCAAUCUUUCAAGACUACAUCUCCUUCGUGGCAUCAUGUGGUAAACGACCCGAUCAAACUCAAUCCCGUUAAAUAAACUUAGCAUGCCAUGCCAUCAUCGUUCGACAGACUUGUUUGAAUCCAAAUGCAGGGUCGAAGCAGAACUACGUCCCUCCCCUCCCGGCGCUGACGAGGUGCAACCAGGACUCGGGCUUCUUCCGGCUGUGGAAGAAGGCGGUGCUGCCGUCGUGCCAAGCGCCGGAGGCCAACCCGCGCGGCGGCGCCUCUCAGCACAACCCGCGGCCAUCCAUAAGCCGCGGCACGCAGCGCCUCUACGUCCGCCUCAACACGCUCCACUACGUCCUCACCCACGUCCAGGCCAUCGAGGAGCCGCUCUCGUCACUCUCCUCUGCCUCCGGCGGUAACCGGGUGGCAACUUCCCUCAACUUCGACCGCACCCGCGCCGCGGCCCAGUCGGCGGUGUCCCACGUCGCCGAGGUGGCCGCAUCCCGGCUUAUCUUCCUCGACUCGCGCCACGCCUUCUACCAGGGCCUGUACAUCCGCAACGUCGUCGACACACGCAUCCGGCCGGUGCUCCGCGCGCUGAAGCAGAACCUGUCGUUCCUCGUGUCCGUGCUCGUUGACCACGCGCAGCCGGUGGCCGUGCGGGAGGUGAUGAAGGCCUCGUUCCAGGCGUUCCUGAUGGUCCUCCUCGCCGGCGGCAACGACCGGAGUUUCACGAGGGCGGACCACGGGAUGGUGGAGGAGGACUUCCGGAGCCUGAAGCGCGCCUUCUGCACGUGCGGCGAGGGCCUGGUCCCCGAGGACGUGGUGGUGCAGGAGGCGGAGGCCGUAGAGGGCGUCGUUGAGCUCAUGGCUCGGUCGACGGAGCACCUCAUCACGGCGUUCGGCGCCGCCACGUCGGAGUCCAUCGCGGGCGUGCGAGAAUACGAGGACAGCGAUGGGGGCACGACCCACGUACCGCCGACGAGGCAGUGGGGCCCUGCGGACCCAAACACCAUCCUCCGCGUGUUGUGCCACCGCGACGACGAGGCCGCCAACCAGUUCUUGAAGCGCACGUUCCAGCUCGCCAAGCGGCGGUGAUGUCGGCCAAAUGCCCCACGACUGAGUCUAGGUGCUACUACACUUUUUAGUCCCAUCACUGCAACAAUCGUUGCGGCUACGUGGGCUGUAUCUGUGCCGGCCCAAGUGAGCGGCCCAUGUAAUGCGUUCAGGUGUGAGUGUGCCUUGUUAAAAUAGCCGUUGCUAAGCGUCAGGGUUGAGGAUCCAUGUACUGCCAAGUGCGAACUUCCCUCAAAAAAUAAAAUAAAAUUGUACUGUCAACUUCACACCUCUCUAAUCAUCUUCCGCCACAAGUCACUCUAUCCUUGUGUUCUAUGAACCAAGACCUAGCUUGAAGCUGGAGAGUGCACCUGGUCGGUAGGUAUCUACAACCAGUGACAUAGCCAUGAAAAUCGAAUGAGGGGGGCUAAGUGUUGCUAAGCCUUGUUGGGGAGGGCCAAUCCAGCAGAAUACAUAAUUUUAGCAGCAAAAUGUUACUGUUCAUAUUAAUACUAGGCUUAAAUCAAUAAUGUUAGGGGGGCCAGGCCCCUGCUGGCACCCCUGCCUUUGCCAAUGUCUGCAACAUUGUGCCAGAUCCACUGGUUUCUUCCCAUAUUUUUUUUCGGUUCGUUGAUUCCUUAUAUGGUUCCAUAAAUUCCUGGCAAAUGGCGUGGAUCCUUCAGGAAUCCAUGCAAAACGCAACCAUGUACCUCCGCUAGGUAGGAGUGAAUUUCAAGUGAAUCAACGGCGAAAUCCGGCAAGCCCACGCUCCCGACGCACAUGACGGCGGCGGAAUUGACUUGGCAAAGCUACAACAGCUGGUUGCGGGCAUCAUCAUACGGGAUCAACCGAAAACAAUUUUGUGAGCAUCUAGGAUCUUCUACACAUCUUCGGGCACUGGAACAACAUUGUCAACCAGAGGAGAAAUAUAACAAAGCUGGAUGUCAUGAUCAACUGAUGCAGUACGUAAGAAUCCAUGUAGUUUUUUGCCAGACAAGGCAUUACAAGAAGAGCAAUUUUAACAUGGUCCCUCUUACCUCCUCUUUUCACAUGGGAGAUACGAAGGUAAGAGUUACUCAGACCCGCCCUUCAUUGGCUAGAUUGUGUCUUGCAUCUUAGGGGCUCCCUUCAUGCCCGCGAGCUUAGCCCAUGAGCUUCUUCAAGUUGGUGGAGGUGUGGUGAUGUUGCGGCUCCCUUUGCAUGCUUGGCCAUGGUAAGGAGGGUAAACUUUGCCGUGACGUUGACGUGAUAGAGUCAUAAAGGCGUCACAACCUCGUGUGCGAGGCCUGUCCAAAGCACGAAGGACGAACUUUGCCAUGACUUCGAAGGACCAAUGUGGUUUUGAGUUGGUGGAGGUGAGCGAUGUCACAUCAUCGGGGAUUUACGCGACUCCGAAUAGAGUAAGCCCAAGGAGGCGUAUCUCUUUGCGAAGAUGCGCGGGGUCGCAGUAUCGAGGGUCCUCUUGACUUUGAGGGGAGCGUCUUCAAGGAUUCACGGCAACUCCAAUCUUGGUGAAGAUGAGCGACGUAGCAACGUUGAGGAUCCGCAGUGACUCUAUGCUUGUUGAAGACAAGCAGGGUCGCGACAUUGAGGAUGCACGCGACUCCGAGCGGAGUGGCGUCGAGGACCAUCGGCGACUCUGAGGGUAGCGGCUUCAUGAUCUGAAGUGGCUUCGAGCUUGGUGAAGAUGUGUGCGCUCGCGGCAUGGAGGAUCUAUGCGAGUCCAAGGGGAGAAAAUUCAAGGAUCCACGACGACUUCGAGGUGCCUUCGAGGAGUCUUCACCUUCUAGCAUCGACCCGCCUUACCUGUAGUUACCUUCGGAUUUUGUUGGAACUUGACUUGAUUUAGGCUGGGCCAUCUAGCUUCAUUGGUUGAUGACCUUUCACAUGGCGAGGAUUCCCCAUGGUUGGUGCGAGUGUUGAUGUUCAAGGAUCAACUAUUGAUAGGGGUAGCCAUAACUAUAUGGUCAGUGAUUAGUACGCGGGGGUUUGUACAAUGACCUUAUAUUGAAGGUCGUCGUACACUCGACAAGGUGACACAAAGAUUUUUUUUGAAUAGGUUCAUUUGCCUAGUCGGAACGCGACCUACAUCCUAUGAGGAAAAUCGUCAACAGUGGUGCUCAAGGCACGAAGAACUUGGAGUGUUGUAAAUUUCGAAGUCCCACGACUCUUGGCUGGUCCGAGCCUUACUAGGCCCCUCGGAUUCUGAUUCCCAAGCUUCGGUUGAGCCUUGUUGCAGGGACAAGGAGAGUGACUCCUGCUCUUGAGUUUAUUCAAGUGGGAGUAAAUGAUUUAGAUGCCAAUGGGGGAGGCUUAUAUAGCCGGGUCCUUAACAAAUGAUCAAGGCUACCCUUCAGACAAGGAGGUGGGAGAGUAGGACUAGGUGAUUUUUCAUCCUUCUGCCCAUAUGCCUCUAGUUGGGCUAGGAGGCGGGUUGUAGCACAGUAAUGGAUGAAUGCCUACACUAUUUGAAGGCUUCCUUGUUGGGGCUUCGACUUCUUUGCUCCUUUGCCUCCAUAUUUCACUUAUUCUUUUAAGUGGUCUUCUUUCUUUGACUUGUUGACCAUGAAGGUUUGCUUGGACUUUUGUUGACUGAAGUGGCUUGCUUGGAAUCAUAGGGGCUUUCUUGGACCAUUGUUGACCUCCUUGAAUUGUGUUACGUGGCCUUUACUUUGCUGAUCACCUAUGUGGCAUGCCACAUAGGAUAGGGGGUGGGACCUAAAGUAGAGUGAGUUGAAGAAAACCACCACAUUGAAGCCUAGGUUUGUAGAAAACAUCAUUCUAUAAAUUUCUACUCGAAAGCACUAAUUUUGGGCUUAAUCUGUUACAGAAAACACUGACUUAUUGCUACUUGUGAGCUGCAUUGGGAUUUCCUCAAACAGGAGAGGAUGAUGCAGUACAAUAGAGAUAAGUAUUUCCCUCAUUUAAGAACCAAGUUCAUCAAUCCAGUAGGAGAACCACACAAGACCUCGUGAACAACACCUACACACAAAAUAACAAAUACUUGCACCCAACGCAAACAAGGGGUAGUCAAUCCCUUGGCGGUUAAUUGCAAGGAUCAAAUCUCGUAGUGAUGAUGCAACAAGAUUGAUGUAGAGGCCCUCCGUGAUCGAUUCCCCCUCCGGCAGAGUGCCGAAAAAGGUCUCCAGAUGGAUCUCCGAAGAACAGAAACUUGCGGCGGGGAAAAAGUAUUUCGGGUGGCUCUCUGAUGUAUUGGGAAUAUACAGAGCUAGAAUUAGGUCAAGAGGUGCCAUGAGGGGCCCACAAGCCUGGGGGCGCGCCUGGCAGGCUUGUCGCUCCCUCGUGACUCUUCAGGUCUUCUAGGGUCCCUUCUGAUAAAAAAAAUCGUCAAAAAGUUUCGUAGCGUUUGGACUCCGUUUUUUACUAAUUUUCUGAAAAGCCAAAAACAAACAAAAAAUAGCAACUGGCACUGGGCACUAGGUUAAUAGGUUAGUACCAAAAAAUGAUAUAUAAUUGCAUAACAAACAUCCAAGAUUGAUACUAUAAUAGCAUGGAACAAUAAAAAAAGACGUACCAACAUCCCCAAGCUUAAUUCCCGCUCUUCCUCGAGUAGGUAAAUGAUAAAAACAGAUUUUUUGAUGUAGAAUGCUACCUAACAUGUUUAUCAUGUAAUCUCUUUUGUGGUAUGAAUAUUUACACCCGAAUGAUUCAAAGCAAUAGUCUAUAAUUUGACAUAAAGACAUCAAUACUCAGGUGUAGGAUCAAAAGUAGGUCUGGGGGGGGGGGUGAUUAGACUACUUGACCAAAUAAAAAUCUAGCCUUUUCCCAAUUUUAAGUCUUGGCAGAUUUUAGCAACUUAGCACAAGUCAAGCAAUCAACCUACACAUGCAACUCUAAGAGUGUAGCAGCGGAAAGUAAAACAUUGCAUAUCAAGGUAAAGGGAAGGGUUUGGAGAAGGCAAACGUAAUGUAGACACGGAGAUUUUUGGCGUGGUUCCGAUAGGUGGUGCUAUCGUACGUCCACGUUGAUGGAGACUUCAACCCACGAAGGGUAAUGGUUACGCGAGUCCAUGGAGGGCUCCACCCACAAAGGGUCCAUGAAUAAGCAACCUUGUCUAUCUUACCAUGGCCAUCGCCCAUGAAAGACUUGCCUCAUUCGGGUAGAUCUUCACGAAGUAGGCGAUCUCCUUGCCCUUACAAACUCCUUGGUUCAACUCCACAAUCUUGUCGGAGGCUCCCAAGUGACACCUAACCAAUCUAGGAGACACCACUCUCCAAAAGGUAAUAGAUGGUGUAUUGAUGAUGAACUCCUUACUCUUGUGCUUCAAAUGAUAGUCUCCCCAAGACUCAAUUCUCUCUCACAGAUUUGGCUGUUAUUUGAGUGGAAAGCAACUUGGGGAAGGCUAGAGAUCAAGAUUCUUGUGGUUGGAUUGGAAUGUCUUGGUCUCAACACAUGAGUAGGUGGUUCUCUCUUAGAAAAUGAGUAGUGGAAGUGUAGGCACGUUUUGAUGGCUCUCUCUUGAAUAGAGAAGGGGGUGGAGGGGUAUAUAUAGCCUCCACACAAAAUCCAACCGUUACACACAUUUGACCCAACUCGGUCAGACCGAAUAAGAGAACUCAGUGAGACCGAUUCAGUUCAAAAUGUGAACGUUAGGAAUCUCAGUGGGACCGAUAUGAUCAACUCGGUGGGACCGAUGUGCUAGGGUUAAGGCAAAACCUCAUCUCGGUGUGACCGAUUGCAUGAACUCGAUGAGACCGAUUUCAGCAAUGAUUUAACAAGGAAUUGGUCAGGCAAACUCGGUGGGACCGAACGCUCAUUUCGAUAAGACCGAAACGUUACAAAGGGAACAGAGAGUUUGCAUUGCGAACUCGGUGGGAUCGAUCGCUCACUUUGGUAAGACCAAAACGUUAUGAAGGGAAACAGAGAGUUUGCAAUGCCAUCUCGGUGAGACCGAGAUACCUAUCUGUGAGACCGAAUUAUCUAGGGUUUCUGGCUGUGGCUAUGUCAAAUGAACUCGGUGGCGCCGGAUAGAUCAAAUCGGUGGGGCCGAGUUUGACUUAAGGUUUUGGACAUAUUUGGAAGUGAGAAAGUGGUUGAGGGCUUUUGAGAAUAUCACUAAGCAUUUUGAGCAACACCUCAUCCCCUUUUAAUAGUGUUGGCUUUUCCUAUGGACUGAAUGUGAUCUUGGAUCACUGAAAUAGAAAUGAAGAGUCUUGAGCUUUAGCCAAUCUUUGUCCUUAGCAUUUUGAGGGGUCCACAUCUCUAGUCCAUGCCAUGCCAAUCAUUGAACUUUCUAAAAUAUUUAAAUUGAAUGGAUAUUAGUUCAAUGAGCUAUAUGUUGCUAUGAAUUACCAAAACCAACUGGGGAUUAGUUGCACUUUCAAUCUCCCCCUUUUUGGUAAUUGAUGACAACAUAUAGAUCAAAGCUUCGAAAAAUGAUAAUAUGAAUGAAAUACAUCGUCGCUUUGAGAAGUAUGUGCGAAGCAAGAGCUCCCCCUAAAUUUGUGCAUUAUUUAGAAUUUGCUUUUGAAUGCAAAUGCACAAUCGAUUAGGAUCAUGGGUUUCUCUUCCAUGUCACAUACAUCUUGGUGGAUGAUACGUCUCCAAUGUAUCUAUAAUUUUUGAUUGUUCCAUGCUAUUAUAUUAUCUGUUUUAUGUUUAAUGGGCUUUAUUAUACACUUUUAUAUUAUUUUUGGGACUAACCUACUAACCCAAGGCCAGUGCAAAUUGCUGUUUUUUGCCUAUUUCAGUGUUUCGCAGAAAAGGAAUAUCAAACGAAAUCCAAACGGAAUGAAACCUUCGGGAGAGUGAUUUUUGGAACAAACGUGAUCAGAGGACUUGGAGUGGAUGUCAAGAAAGAAACAAGGAGGCCACGAGGCAGGGAGGCGCGCCUGCCCCCCUGGGCGCGCCCCCACCCUCGUGGGCCCCUCGUGGCUCCCCUGACCGACUUCCUUCGCCUAUAUAUACUCAUAUACCCCGAAAACAUCCAGGAGCACCACGAAACCCUAUUUCCACCGCCGCAACUCUCUGUACCCGUGGGAUCCCAUCUUGGGGCCUUUUCCGGCGCUCCACCGGAGGGGGAAUCGAUCACGGAGGGCUUCUACAUCAACACCAUAGCCUCUCCGAUGAUGUGUGAGUAGUUUACCUUAGACCUUCGGGUCCAUAGUUAUUAGCUAGAUAGCUUCUUCUCUCUCUUUGGAUCUUAAUACAAAGUUCUCCUCGAUCUUCUUGGAGAUCUAUUCGAUGUAACUCUUUUUGCGGUGUGUUUGUCGAGAUCUGAUGAAUUAUGGGUUUAUGAUCAAGAUUAUCUAUGAACAAUAUUUGAAUCUCCUCUGAAUUCUUUUAUGUAUGAUUUGAUAUCUUUGCAAGUCUCUUCGAAUUAUCAGUUUGGUUUGGCCUACUAGAUUGAUCUUUCUUGCAAUGGGAGAAGUGCUUAGCUUUGGGUUCAAUCAUGCGCUGCUCGAUCCCAGUGAUAGAAGGGGAAACGACACAUAUUGUAUUGUUGCCAUCGAGGAUAAAAAGAUGGGGUUUAUAUCAUAUUGCUUGAGUUUAUCCCUCUACAUCAUGUCAUCUUGCCUAAUGCAUUACUCUGUUCUUAUGAACUUAAUACUCUAGAUGCAUGCUGGAUAGCGGUCGAUGUGUGGAGUAAUAGUAGUAGAUGCAGAAUCAUUUCGGUCUACUUGUCGCGGACGUGAUGCCUAUAUACAUGAUCAUGCCUAGAUAUUCUCAUAACUAUGCACUAUUAUAUCAAUUGCUCGACAGUAAUUUGUUCACCCACCGUAGUACUUAUGCUAUCUUGAGAGAAGCCACUAGUGAAACUAUGGCCCCCGGGUCUAUUCUCCAUCAUAUAAGUUUUCAAUCUAUUUUACUUUGCAAUCUUUACUUUCAAUCUUUAUCAUAAAAAUACCAAAAAUAUUAUCUUAUUAUCUCUAUCUGAUCUCACUUUUGCAAGUGGCCGUGAAGGGAUUGACAACCCCUUUAUCGCGUUGGUUACAAGGUUCUUAUUUGUUUGUGUAGGUACAAGGGACUUGCGUGUGGUCUCCUACAGGAUUGAUACCGGGGAGUCUACGCACAAGUCAAGACAUACCAAGUACCCAUCACAAACUCUUAUCCCUCGCAUUACAUUAUUUGCCAUUUGCCUCUCGUUUUCCUCUCCCCCACUUCACCCUUGCCGUUUUAUUUGCCCUCUUUUUCUGUUUGCCUCUGUUUGCUUGCUUCUUGUGUGCCUGUUUGCCCUGAUGGCCUUGCCUAAAAGCGUUGAUCCUCACCUUAGAAGGUUGGAAGAAAUUGAAAACAACGUUAGAAGCUUUAUGACUUUGCAAUUUGAGCAUAAUAAUUUCUUUAGAAACGAGCUUAAAGAACAAAAAAGCUUUAUGGAAUACAUGAAUAAAGAGCUUGAUGAUUUGUCUAGGGAAUUUUAUGGUUUGAAAUCUCAGUUUGCUCAUCUUGAAAAAUUAAUAGCCCAAAUUUCGGAUAAGCAGGCCACCUUAGUUAAUAAGAUGGCUACCAAACCGGAAGAUCUAGAAGGUAAUAAAGAUGAAGAUCUAAAAGUGAUUGAUGCGUCUCCUAUUAAAUCUUUGUUUUGCAAUAUGAAUCUUGAUAAUGAUGGGACUGGAGAUGAGUCAACUUUAGUUAAAAGGCGUCCCAAUGAUUCGGAGUUUUUAGAUCUUGAUGUAAAAAUUGGUAAAAGUGGGAUUGAAGAGGUCAAAACUUUAGAUAGCAAUGAACCCACUAUUUUGGAUUUAAAGGAAUUUAAUUAUGAUAAUUUUUCUUUAAUAUAUUGUAUUUCCUUGUUGCAAUCCGUGUUAAAUUCUCCUCAUGCUUAUAGUCAAAAUAAAGCUUUUACUAAACAUAUCGUUGAUGCUUUAAUGCAAUCUUAUGAAGAAAAGCUUGAAUUAGAAGUUUCUAUCCCUAGAAAACUUCAUGAUGAGUGGGAACUACUAUUAAAAUUAAAAUUAAAGAUCAUGAAUGCUAUGCUUUGUGUGAUUUGGGUGCUAGUGUUUCCACGAUUCCAAAAACUUUGUGUGAUGUGUUAGGUUUCCGUGAAUUUGAUGAUUGUUCCUUAAACUUGCAUCUUGCGGAUUCCACCAUAAAUAAACCUAUGGGAAGGAUUAAUGAUGUUCUUAUUGUUGCAAAUAGGAAUUAUGUGCCCGUAGAUUUCAUUGUUCUUGAUAUAGAUUGCAAUCCUUCAUGUCCUAUUAUUCUUGGUAGACCUUUUCUUAGAACGAUUGGUGCAAUUAUUGAUAUGAAAGAAGGAAAUAUUAGAUUCCAAUUUCCGUCAAGGAAAGGCAUGGAACACUUUCCUAGAAAGAAAAUUAAAUUACCUUAUGAAUCUAUUAUGUGAGCCACUUAUGGAUUUCAUACCAAAGAUGAUAAUACCUAGAUCUAUCCUUGCUUUUAUGCCUAGCUAGGGGCGUUAAACGAUAGCGCUUGUUGGGAGGCAACCCAAUUUUAUUUUUGUUCCUUGCUUUUUAUUCCUGUUUAGUAAUAAAUAUUUUAUCUAGCCUCUGGUUAGAUGUGGUUUUAUGUUUAAAUUAGUUUUUGUGCCAAGUAAAACCUAUAGGAUAUUCUUGGAUGAUAGUUAUUUGAUCUUGCUGAAAAAGUCAGAAACUUUCUGCUCACGAAAACAAUUGUUAAAAAUAACCAGAAAGUGAUAAAAUACUGAUUCCAAUUGCAGUAGAUAAAUAAUCAAAUUAUUUAGGUAUUCCUAUUUUUUUAGAUUUUUCUGAGUUACAUAUGUUUGCGUUAGAUACGGAUUACUACAGACUGUUCUGUUUUUGACAGAUUCUGUUUUUCGUGUGUUGUUUGCUUAUUUUGAUGAAUCUAUGGCUAGUAUCGGAGGUUAUGAACCAUACAGAAGUUGGAAUGCAGUGGGUUUAACACCAAUAUAAAUAAAGAAUGAGUUCAUUACAGUACCUUAAAGUGGUGGUUUGUUUUAUUUCGCUAACGGAGCUCAUGAGAUUUUCUGUUGAGUUUUGUGUUGUGAAGUUUUCAAGUUUUUGGGUAAAGAUUUGAUGGAUUAUGGAACAAGGAGUGGAAAGAGCCUAAGCUUGGGGAUGCCCAAGGCACCCCAAGGUAAAACUCAAGGACAACCAAAAUCCUAAUCUUGGGGAUGCCCCGGAAGGCAUCCCCUCUUUCGUCUUCGUCCAUCGGUAACUUCACUUGAUGCUAUAUUUUUAUUCACCACAUGAUAUGUGUUUUGCUUGGAGCGUCUUGUAUGAUUUGAGUCUUUGCUUUUUAGUUUACCACAAUCAUCCUUUCUGUACACACCUUUUGGGAGAGACACACAUGAUUCUGAAUUUAUUAGAAUACUCUAUGUGCUUCAUUUAUAUCUUUUGAGCUAGAUAGUUUUGCUCUAGUGCUUCACUUAUAUCUCUUAGAGCACGGUGGUGGUUUUAUUUUAUAGAAAUUAUUGAUCUCUCAUGCUUCACUUAUAUUAUUUUGAGAGUUCUUUAGAACAGCAUGGUAAUUUGCUUUGACUAUAAAAUUAGUCCUAAUAUAAUAGGCAUCCAAGAUUGGUAUAAUAAAAACUUUCAUGUAGAGUGCAUUGAAUACUAAGAGAAGUUUGAUACUUGAUGAUUGUUUUGAGAUAUGGAGAUAGUGAUAUUAAAGUUGUGCUAGUUGAGUAGUUGCGAAUUUGAGAAAUACUUGUGUUGAAGUUUGCAAGUCCCGUAGCAUGCACGUAUGGUAACUGUUGUGUAACAAAUUUGAAACAUGAGGUGUUCUUUGAUUGUCAUCCUUAUGAGUGGCGGUCGGGGACGAGCGAUGGUCUUUUCCUACCAAUCUAUCCCCCUAGGAGCAUGCGCGUAGUGCUUGGUUUUUGAUGACUUGUAGAUUUUUGCAAUAAGUAUGUGAGUUCUUUAUGACUAAUGUUGAGUCCAUGGAUUAUACACACUCUCACCUUUCCAUCAUUUCUAGCCUCUUCGGUACCGUGCAUUGCCCAUUCUCACCUUGAGAGUUGGUGCAAACUUCGUCGGUGCAUCCAAACCCCGUGAUAUGAUACACUCUUUCACACAUAAACCUCCUUAUAUCUUCCUCAAAACAGCCACCAUACCUACCUAUUAUGGCAUUUCCAUAGCCAUUCCGAGAUAUAUUGCCAUGCAACUUUCCACCGUUCCGUUUAUUAUGACACGCUUCAUCAUUGUCAUAUUGCCUUGCAUGAUCAUGUAGUUGACAUCGUAUUUGUGGCAAAGCCACCAUGCAUAAUUUAUCAUACAUGUCACUCUUGAUUCAUUGCUCAGCCUGGUACACCGCCGGAGGCAUUCAUAUAGAGUCAUAUUUUGUUCUAGUAUCGAGUUGUAAUCAUUGAGUUGUAAAUAAAUAGAAGUGUGAUGAUCAUCAUUAAUAGAGCAUUGUCUCAAAUGAAAAAGAAGAAGAAAGGCCAAAUAAAAAAAAGAAAGGCCCAAAAAAGGAAAUAAAAAGGGACAGUGCUACUAUCCUUUUUCCACACUUGUGCUUCAAAGUAGCACCAUGAUCUUUAUGAUAGAGAGUCUCUUGUUUUGUCACUUUCAUAUGCUAGUGGGAAUUUUUCAUUAUAGAACUUGGCUUGUAUAUUCCAACAAUGGGCUUCCUCAAAUGCCCUAGGUCUUCGUGAGCAAGCAAGUUGGAUGCACACCCACUUAGUUUCUUUUGUUGAGCUUUCAUACAUUUAUAGCUCUAGUGCAUCCGUUGCAUGGCAAUCCCUACUCCUUGCAUUGACAUCAAUUGAUGGGCAUCUCCCUAGCCCGUUGAUUAGCCGCGUCGAUGUGAGACUUUCUCCUUUUUUGUCUUCUCCACAUAACCCCCAUCAUUAUACUCUAUUCCACCCAUAGUGCUAUAUCCAUGGCUCACGCUCAUGUAUUGCGUGAAGGUUGAAAAAGUUUGAGAUUACUAAAGUAUGAAACAAUUGCUUGGCUUGUCAUCGGGGUUGUGCAUGAUGAGAGCAUUCAUGUGUGACGAAAAUGGAGCAUGACCAAACUAUAUGAUUUUGUAGGGAUGAACUUUCUUUGGCCAUGUUAUUUUGAGAAGACAUAAUUGCUUAGUUAGUAUGCUUGAAGUAUUAUUAUUUUUAUGUCAAUAUUUAACUUUUAUCUUGAAUCUUUCGGAUCUGAACAUUCAUGCCACAAUAAAGAAAAUUACAUUGAAGAAUAUGCUAGGUAGCAUUCCACAUCAAAAAUUCUGUUUUUAUCAUUUACCUACUCGAGGACGAGCAGGAAUUAAGCUUGGGGAUGCUUGAUACGUCUCCAACGUAUCUAUAAUUUUUGAUUGUUCCAUGCUAUUAUAUUAUCUGUUUUGGAUGUUUAAUGAGCUUUAUUAUACAUUUUUAUAUUAUUUUUGGGACUAACCUACUAACCCAAGGCCAAGUGCAAAUUGUUGUUUUUUUUGCCUAUUUCAGUGUUUCGCAGAAAAGGAAUAUCAAACGGAAUCCAAACGGAAUGAAACCUUCGGGAGAGUGAUUUUUGGAACAAACGUGAUCCAGAGGACUUGGAGUGGACGUCAAGAAAGAAACAAGGAGGCCACGACGCAGGGAGGCGCGCCUUCCCCCUGGGCGCGCCCCCACCCUCGUGGGCCCCUCGUGGCUCCCCUGACCGACUUCCUUCGCCUAUAUAUACUCAUAUACCCCGAAAACAUCCAGGAGCACCACAAAACCCUAUUUCCACCGCCGCAACUCUCUGUACCCGUGAGAUCCCAUCUUGGGGCCUUUUCUGGUGUGCAUCAGCCGCUGGAAGGUCGCUCCGGCAUUGCGCAUCCCGAACGGCAUGCAGGUGUAGCAGUACACCCCGCACGGGGUUAGGAAAGUCGUCUUCUCGACAGCCUGCACCGCCAUCUUGGUUUGGUGAUAGCCAGAGAAGGCAUCCAGGAAGCACAGUAGAUCGCACUCGGCGGUGGAGUCGACGAUCUGGUCGAUGCGUGGGAGAGGGAAAGGGUCUUGCGGACAAGCCUUGUUGAGGUUGGUAAAAUCGAAUCACAUGCGCUCCUUCCCGCCCUUCUUGGGGACGAUAACCGGGUUUGCCAGCCAAUCUGGAUGCCGCACUUCCUGAAUGACGCCGGCUUCUUGCAGUUUGUGGGUCUCCUGGACGAUGAAAGACUGCUUCUCCGGGGUUGUCCACCGCGCCUUCUGUUUUACUGGGCGCGCAUUGGGGCACACCAUCAGGUGGUGCUCGAUUACCCCACGUGGAACCCCGACCAGGUCUGCCGCUUCCCACGCGAACACGUCCUUGUUCGCACGAAGGAAGCUGACCAGCGCCUCUUCCUGGUCUGGGGGGAGGCCGGCGCCUAUGGUGAAAGUAAGGCCCGAUCCCCAUCUUCGUCGACCGACACCUGCUUCGUCUCGGCCCGAUCUUGAGAAAACAACUGCUUCUUAUUUGUUGGCGCGGCCCCCGGGCCUCCGAAGCGCCCCCAGCGGCUGGCCGUGCGGCCGCCGCACUCCUGAAGGCGAGCUUGAGGGCCAUGAGCGCGUCCUUAGUAUCUGUCGCCACAGUGAGGACACCGCUACUUCCCGGCAUCUUCAUGAGGUUGUUGCCAGGAUGAUUCGCCGCCAUGAACUUGGCCAAGGCUGGAUAUCCGAGAAUGGCAUUGUACGGGAGGCUGAUGCGGGCGAUGUCGAAGUCGAUGAGCUCGGUGCGGUAGUUGUUGCAUGUGCCAAAGGUGACGGGGAGGCGGAUCUUCCCCAGAGGGCAGGUGGAGCCAUCAACGACCCCAGAGAAAGGCUUGGUGGGGAGGAGCUGACCGUAGGGCACAUGAAGCAGGCCGAACGUCUCCACAGAGAGGACGUUGAGGCCAGUGCCACCGUCGAUGAGGGUCCUGGUGACUGCUACGUUGCAGAUGGUGGGGGUGCAGAGCAUAGGGAGCGCGCUGGCGCUGAUCGUGGUCUCGGGGUGGUCCCUUGAGUCAACGGUGAGGCCAGCCUUUGGCGCCACCCAGCCCGGAGGGGCUCCCUGCUACGCGUGGGUGGCGCCCACCCGGCAAAACUACUUGACGUGAAGGUCCGAGGCCGGCGCUUGCGACCCGCCAAGGAUGGCCACGACGGUGUGGGGUGCCGGUGCUGCGAAGCACGCGAUGAAGAGACUACACAGCUCUUCCCAGGAGGCCACUGAAGACUCCGGCAAGCCAAGGAGCCAGGCGCACGGCACACCCAUAAGGGGCAUGGGAAGCCAAUUCGCCAUGACCUUGUCGACACCGCCGGCUGCCCAAACAGCCUCCGCAUACGCCUGGAGGAACCCCGCCAGAUCCGCCAUGCCAUCGUAUCGCGGCGACAACUCUGGCCUGAACUUUGGCGGCCAUUGCACCUGCCGCAAGGCGGGGGAGAAAGCCCGGUGGCCCGCAGUGCUUCCGAAUGCGCCCAGGGGCCCAGCUGAGGGAGUCCUGGAUUAAGGGGUCCUCGGAUGGCCGGGCUAUGUGACAUGGGCUGGACUGAUGGGCAGUGAAGAUACGAGAUGGAAGGCAUUCCCCCGUGUCUGGAUGGGACUCUCCUUUGCGUGGAUAGCAAGCUUGGCGGCCAGAUGUGUAGUUUCCUUUCUCUGUAAACUGACUUUGAACAACCCUAGCCCCCUCCGGUGUCUAUAUAAACCGGAGGGGUUAGUCCGCAGAGGCUAUCACAAAUCAUACAGGCUAGACAUCUAGGGUUUAGCCAUUACGAUCUCGAGGUAGUUCAACCCUUGAGGUCCGAACACUGGGGUGCACACAAAGAUCUCUCUCUCCCUAGCUCGCUCUCAGAACGAUCUCAAGGCCUAGCUCGCCGAACCCAAGGAACAAGAGAUACGAGAGUUUAUACUGGUUCGGGCCACCGUUGUGGUGUAAUACCCUACUCCAGUGUGGUGUGGUGGAUUUCCUUGUAGGCUGGGGAUGAACAAGUACAAGGGAUGAAAAGCCCCCUGAGGAGAGGUGUUCUUGAGCUCGGUGAGCUUGUGUGUGUGUGUGUGAGGAUGAUCUGAAUGAUCCCGGAUCAGUUGCCUCCUACGGUGGUGGCUAGUCCUAUUUAUAGAGGCCCUGGUCCUCUUCCCAAAUGUUAGGUGGGAAGGGAUCCCACAACGACCAGUUUUGAAGGAAGACAACUAGUACAAGCUAUCCUGUCAAAAGGUGGUCUUCGCCUACCAAAGGCUCUGGUGGAGACGCCGCCGCGGGCUCCGCGGUGACCUCCGUCCUGCCGUCCUGCUGAUCUUGGUCUCGUUGCACUGAUAUGGAAACCUUUGCCUGAUGCCUCGGGACUCCUCGCCUGCGGCUGCCCCUUUAGCACCAAAGAGGAAAUUGGUACUUUGCGCCCGCUGGCGCCCGCCUGGCUUCGGUCGUCAUGGCUCACGUCACGCGCACCUUGUGAGGUGCCCCUCGCCUUGAUAUCUCCGCUCCUCACGAGCCGGCCUAGCGAGGCUUCCCCUGAGGAGGUCUUGUGUCGUCCGCCUCACGAGGCUUGGCCCCUCGCGAGGGUCUUGAGUGGUUGCUGAUGAAGAUUGGUCGUGCCAGGCCACUGGUGGAGCCACGCCCCGGGCCGCACGCAGGCAAGUCUGGGUAUCCCCGUUCCCAGGACGCCGACAGUAGCCCCCGGGCCCAAGGCGCGCUCGGACUUGGCUUCGAGGCGAAGCCAAAGGGCAAGUGUGGAGCGCUGCGAGCCCCAACCGCCUGCGGCCCUGAUUGACACGUGGCGGUUGACGGGACGUGGGCGCCUCCGCUGCCCCACACUGCCGCGGCAAUUGCCCGACUUGACGAGUCCCUGCUGCAUGCAGAAGAAGAACCAUCAUUACAUGCAAUCGUGGAGGCCGGCGGUUGGCCUCCUUCUGGCUAUAAAUGAGGAGGGGGCGGAGCCCCCAUCGCUCAUCUCUUCCUACAUCCGCUUCUUCUUCUUCUUCCUUGCUACGACACUCAUGGCGCCGAUACGGAGAUCCUCCGCUGCUGAGAAGGGGAAAACCCCCCGCGAAGAGUUAGGGCCGCUCCCACCAAAGAAGAGGCUGGUCCACCCUCGCGACAUCGUCGUGAGGCCGGAGGUGAUGAGGCCUUGGCACGAGCGGCCUCCCCCCGGCUACCCGCCGCCCUUGUACACCCAGGCGCAAGGCUCCAGCGGGGGAGGCAACGACCCGCAUUGCUCGCGCCUUGGCCGCGGUGGGCACGCGGUGGCGGUGCACGCUGCCGCCCCGCGGACUCAUGCUGAGGGCUCCUCGCGUGAACUCGUGGUGUGGGUGGCGAUGCCAUCACGCUCGUGGAUCUGAUUCCCACAAUUCUUCGCUGAAGAGAUGCCGCCGAGGGGGCCACUCGAGCUGUGGCUGCAGCACGCCGAGUGCGACACCCCGGCGACGGGAGCAGAGGUUGAGGUCGUUUCCCCGGGCAAGAUCUUCAUGACCCGCGGAUGGGGUGAGGCCACCUGUGUCUGUCGUGCGGAGGGGUUCCUCUCCAUCCAUUUCGAGUAUGACGGCGCCUCGACACUGUUCUUCAAGGUCUUCGACGAGGAAGGCCGCCGCCUGGAAUGCUGCCCCGAAGGGGGUCGCCUGGACGGCGCGGCAGGCGUUGGCCCCGCCCUUGGUCCUGCCAGUAGUUCCUCCAGCAGCAGUGAUGGUGCCUGGGAGUCCAGCGACUCUCCCGAGCCCUACGAGAGUCCGGAGACGAGCGACGACAGCUACGUGCCCCCGAGCUCUCCCCGUGCCCGGAGCGCGGCAGCGGCGUCCGCCCAUCGCCGCCGUUGAUCUGGAUGGGGUUGGCGUCGGCCCCCCGUGGCCCACUGUUGAUGAUGGCGUCGGUGGUGAUGCCUGUAGAUACGACUCCUAGAAACCUUCUUCUUUUGUUCCCUGCGAGGAAUGGAGGUGAACCCCAUGGGGUGUGUAAAGGGUCUGUAGUGCCUUUUGUGUUAAUAUCAUCCUUAUUACGAAGAUUUACGAUCGCGUGUCUUGCUUCGGCUUGGUCCCCCCCUUUCCAACCUUGCAGUAGCUUAGUGCUCUACGCCGACAGGUCCCAGUCCCCAGGCAGGCUGCAGCCGUCGCUGGUAUGCCAGGUCACGAUGCCGUGGUCAAGGCCAGGAGGUGAGCCGCCCGAGGUCCGGUGAGAGCUCCUGAGGCGCGAUGCUCAAGAGGUCCCCUUUAGCGUGCAAGCAGCUACCUGAAGGCAAGAAAGGAAGGCGGUGUCGCCGUAGCAAGGCUGCAAGAGAUGGAAAUCCCGUGUCAUAGCGCUGGGCUGUCUUGAGUGCGAGACUUAUCUUAGCGACCCUGGGUCGGCUUCUGUGUGCAGCGUCUGAUUUCUACGUCAGCGGCUGUGAGACGAUUGGGUUAAGAUUGCACUGGCUUCCCUCCCUUUUUCAUGCUCUUCUAGGUGCACUGCGUCCUCGGGUCCCGACCCUCGAGCGAGCUCGGCCGCCGCUGGUAUGCCAGGUCGCGGUGCCGUGGUCAAGGCCAGGGGGUGAGGGCUGGAGAGUCAGUAGGAGCUCCUGAGACGCGAUGCUCAGGAGCCCCCCUUUAACGCGCAAGAGAAAUGCGUGAAAAAGAAGAAGGAGCCUGCGGCGCCGUCCAUGGUCUGCCUCCGGAGAUUCCUGCAGGUUAGCGCGAGGGAGGAGUACAGCCUGCAACCGCAUCUGCUGGUCUGCGCUGGUCGUUCCGCAAGAAGAUGAAGGCACUGAGGGCCUGGUGAGGUGACGUGCGCGGGGCGUGCCGCAAGCCAGAGCUCGACCGCUCAGGUUUGUUAGCGUUGUAGGGACGGACCCGAGCACAAGUGCCGUGCCAGCAUGUGUAGCCCCCAUUGCGGGGUGAGCAGAAGGCCGGCCAGCAACGCGGGUGGCCGCGAGGGGCAACAGGUAAGCAGGCGAUAAUCAUGAAAUGACUCAAGCAAUAAGGCAGGUUAGCUCAGAUGGAUGCAAGAACGAUACAUGCCACUGGGACGGACCCGAGCGGCCCGGGGAUGAUGCGACCCAAGAGGCGCUCCCAACAGAGUAAGCUAAAGAUGCAAAAGGAUACACGUCGCAGGGACAAGCCCACGCGGCUUGGGGAUAAUGCUGCCCGAAGGGUGCCCCCAACUGAAUGAACUGGAAAGAGUCACCUGAUACCGUAUCUGGAAUGAUGUUGGAGUAGCUAAAGAUGCGUGCUGGAGAAGCUGCUCCUCACGACCCGCUAGGGUCCUGAGCCUCAGGAGGCUCCGUAGGCCCAGCUGGCUCCCGAAGAACUGUCGCGAUCUCUACCAGGACGACGUGAUGCCUGGCCUCCUGAGCCGCCAAGAUGCUCCGUAAGUGGUGCUGGAAGGUGACAGCCGCGUUCGGCAUGCCAAAUGGCAUGCGAACAUAGCUGUGAGGUGGACCCUCACACCGUCCAAUGCGUGAAGGCUAGAAAUGUCCCUGAGACGCUGCCCUGUUGAGACCUGGAAUGUCAACGCAGACGCGCAGCCCGCCGUCCUCGCCAGGAUGGGGGGCUGCGCCGGGUGGUGGGCGGCGGUCGCCGCGUAUGGCCCUUGCCUCUUGAAGCUCCUGGGUCGCCUUGGUGAUGAACUGCUGAGCAUUGGGCGCUCCACGCCUUGUGCCCUCUUGAGGGAAACGUGUGGCGAAGCACGCCUCCACAUGGUGCCCGAGCGCCUCGCUCGUGACGUUGGCUAGAUCUGAGGCCCUCCAGAAGAGAGCCUCCUAGCCUAGCCUGAGGAGGGCGCCGGGCGCGCCUUUCUAUGCGAGGAAGAGAGGCGCCCCGGCUGCGGGCGCAAAUCCUGAUGUGGUGCCGCUGCUCUCCUAAGGCCCUGGGUGGAGUAGCUACUUCUUCUUCUUGGGGAUGGCCUCAGGAGGGUACAUGGUGCGUUCGUUGUCGGGGUCUUCGGCCGCUGCAGCUUAGUAAGCGCGCUCGAGGGAGCACACGGCGUCCCGUUCUUCACAGGGAACCGUGAUGAUGCCGCUGCUCCCUGGCAUCUUGAGGACGUUGUAGCCAUGAUGGGUUACAGCCAUAAACUUGGCCAAGGCUGGAUACCCAAGGAUGGCGUUGUACGGCAGGCGGAUGUGAGCGACGUUGAAGUCAAUGAGCUCGGUGCGGUAGUUGUCACGCUGGCCGAAGGUGACAGGGAGGCGGACCUGCCCUAUCGGGGUGGUGGAGCCGUCGGUCACUCCUAAGAAGGGCUUGGUAGGCUGUAGCUGAUCGUAUGGCACUUGGAGGCUGUCGAACGUCUCAACGGACAGGACAUUGAGCCCUGCGCCGCCGUCGAUGAGGUUCUUGGUGACUUGAACGUUGCUGAUGACGGGUGAGCAGAGCAUUGGGAGGGCGCCAGUCUGACGAGGUGAAGGUGAUGGCGCACUUGGACCACAUGAGCGGGCGCGUGGCUUCAAGCCUGGGAAGGGCCGCGUUCACCUCACGAGCAAACUGCUUGAAGAUACGCUGAGAGGCUGGGGCCUGGGCACCACCCAAGAUGCAGGCGAUGGCACGAGGUUCUUGGAAGCCCCCAGCCCCCUCGUCCUGGUGGUGGUGGCAGCGGAGGGAGGCCUGCGUUGCCCUGAGGACGGUCCUCACGAGGUUGGUCCUUCUAGGCACCCUCGCGAGGCGGGUCCUGCCAGCGGUCAUCGCGAGGCCGGUCGCGCCACUCCUGACGGGGCCCACGGUCGUCCCAGCGUCCUCCACUUCGUCCUCCUCCUCGGCCAUAGCCCCGGUCGCCGCACUCGGGGCGUCGACCAAAGCGCCCAUCGCGGAUGGCCCUGAGCUCCUGACAGUCAUUGGUGUUGUGGCUGUGUACGUUGUGGAAGGCGCAGAACGGACGGCUGUUCUUGGACGACUUGGGGUGGUCUCGGCCGCGCUUUGUCUCUGGCUCGGCCGCGAGCACGGCUACCCCCUUGCGCUUCACAUCUUUGGCCCUGGCCUUCUUGUCUUCCAUGUUGGCGGCUGGAAGUUCGAAGAGGGAGAGGUGCCCUUCCUCAGCUCUUGCGCACUUGGUCGCCAUAUUGAACAUCUCUAGGGCCGUGCAUAGUUCCUCAUGGAUGGCGAGCUCCUCCUUCAUCUUGACGUCGCGGACGCCAUCGGAGAACACGGAGAUGAUGGCCUCGUCCGUCACCUUGGGGAUCUUGAGGCGGACGCUAUUGAAUCGCUGAAUGUACUUUUGCAGAGUUUCCCCUGGCUGCUGCUUGAUGCGCCGCAGGUCACCCGCGGCCGGCGGGCGGUCGCGAGUGCCCUGGAAGUUGGCGAUGAAACGCUCGCGCAUCUCGCCCGAGGAGGAUAUUGAUCCCGCGAGCAAGUUCAGAAGCCAUGAGCGUGCGCCAUCUUUGAGGGCCAUGGGAAACCAAUUCGCCAUGACCUUCUCAUCGCCGUUGGCUGCCUCGAUGCUCAGCUCAUAGAGCUACAAGAACUCCAUGGGGUCGGCGGUGCUGUCGUAGUGCGGAGGCAGGUCCGACUUGAACUUGCCAGGCCAGACGACGCUGCACAGCUCGGGUGUGAAGGCACAUCAACCUGCUGUGGUCACGGGAGCCCGUCGCAGAGGCGGCGCCUGAUCUUGAUAUCCUCGCGCUGCCGCCGCAGGCAGCACGUGGUCUUGACGCGGUGGUGCUGGGAGCGCAGGAGCGUUUUCUUGCGGCCGAGGGACUUCUUGGCAGCUUCCUUCUUCGUGCGCGGGCGCCCGGCGUGGCAAGUCACGCCGCGAGACUGCGUGUCUCGGGGCGAGGCACCGUCUUGAUGCGGAGGUGGUGGAGGCGCUCCGUGAGCUACGUCACCCGCAGCUGGGGGUGGACGAGGCAGCGAGAGAGAUGGUGCAGGAGAGCCCCCAGCAGCGCUGACGAGCUCAGCGAUGCGGUCCAGCCAGUCCUCGUAGAGGUCGUCAACCAGGCGGUAACGCAGGAGCUCGCGUGUCAUGAGCAGCACGGCCUGCGCGUCCGUGGGCGUGCGACGAGCGUGGGAUGAGGAGCCGGCCGGAGUCAGCGACUGAUAAACUAAGAUUUUCGGCUAAACCAUUGCUAACUCUUCGAUAUAUUUCUUGCUGAAAGUAUCCCUGAUCCCGGGUGGCGGUGCGAUUGUCCCGCCUCACAGAGGGGUGCAGCAAUGAAGCUUGCUGCUCGUUCCCUGCCGGGCCGGUGGUGGCGUUGGCAGCGGGUGAUGGAGAACGGCGGGGAGGUCCGCCAACGGGUGCCGUUUGAGCGACACGAGCGGCAAGGGCGGCCCGGCGCUCAGCACGGGCUCGGCGAGCGUUAGCCAUGGUUGCGGCGGAACAGUGGAGCGUGGAUCGACGGAAGAAAGGCUUCGGCGCCCCCUACCUGGUGCGCCAAAUGUCGGAUUCUAGGUUCCGGCAAACCCUUGAUGUUCGAACACUGGGGUGCGCAUGAAGAUCUGUCUCUCCCUAGCUCGCUCUCACAACGAUCUCAAGUCCUAGCUCACUGAACCCAAGGAACAAGAGACACGAGAGUUUAUACUGGUUCGGGCCACUGUUGUGGUUUAAUACCCUACUCCAGUAUGGUGUGGUGGAUUGCCUUGUAGGCUGGGAUGAACAAGUACAAGGGAUGAACGGCCCCCUGAGGGGAGGUGUUCUUGAGCUCAGCGAGCUUGUGUGUAUGUGAGGAUGAUCUGAAUGAUCCCGGAUUAGUUGCCUCCUACGGUGGUGGCUAGUCCUAUUUAUAGAGGCCAUGGUCCUCUUCCCAAAUGUUAGGUGGGAAGGGAUCCCACAACGGCCAAUUUUGAAGGGAGACAACUAGUACAAGCUAUCCUGUCAAAAGGUGGUCUUCGCCUGCCAAAGGCUCUGGUGGUGACGCCGUCGUGGGCUCCGUGGUGACCUCCAUCCUGCCGUCCUGCUGGUCUUGGUCUCGUUGCACCGAUAUGGAAACCUUUGCCUGAUGCCUCGGGACUCCUCGCCUGCGCCUACCCCUUUAGCACCAAAGAGGAAACUUGUACUCUGCGCCCGCUGGUGCCCGCCUGGCUUCGGUCAUCAUGGCUCAUGUCACGCGCACCUCGCGAGGUGCCCCUCGCCUUGAUAUCUCUGCUUCCUCACGAGCCGGCCUAGCGAGGCUUCCCCUGAGGAGGUCUUGUGUCAUCCGCCUCGCGAGGCUUGUCCCCUCACGAGGGUCUUGAGUGGUUGCUGAUGAAGAUGGGCCGUGCCAGGCCGCUGGUGGAGCCACGCCCUGGGCUGUAGGCAGGCAAGUCUGGGUACCCCCAUUCCCAGGACGCCGACAAGCUCCUACACACAAAGAACAAAUACUUGCAACCCGACAUAAGAGAGGGGUUGUCAAUCCCUCCCGGGUAAAAAGAUAGGUAAAAUUGUAGUAGAUUGGAUAAAUAGAUCUCGCGGGAACGCGAGACAAAAUAAAUAAUAAUAAGUUGCAGCAAGGUAUUUUUGUAUUUUUGGACUAAUAGAUCUGAAAAUAAAAUCAAAUAAGAAUAGAUCACAAAGGCAAAUAUAAUAAAGAAGAGACCCGGGGCCCGUAGAUUUCACUAGUGGCUUCUCUCGAGAAAAAUAGUAUACGGCGGGUAAAAAAAUUACUGUUGGGCAAUUGAUAGAACUUCAAAUAAUCAUGACGAUAUCUAGGCAAUGAUCAUUACAUAGGCAUCACGUCCAAGAUUAGUAGACCGACUCCUGCCUGCAUCUACUACUAUUACUCCACACAUCGAGCGCUAUCCAGCAUGCAUCUAGUGUAUUAAGUUCAUGGAGAAACGGAGUAAUGUAAUAAGAACGAUGACAUGGUGUAGACAAGAUCUAUUUAUGUAGAAAUAGACCCCAUCUUGUUAUCCUUAAUAGCAACGAUACAUACGUGUUGGUUCCCCUUCUGUCACUGGGAUCAAGCAACGUAAGAUCGAGCCCAUCACAAAGCACAUCUAUCCAUGGCAAGAAAAAUCGAUCUAGUUGGCCUAACUAAACCAAAGAUUCGAAGAAGAAAUACGAGGCUAUAAGUAAUCAUGCAUAUAAGAGAUCAAAAGACUCGAAUAACUUUCAUGGAUAAAAACAUAGAUCUGAUCAUAAACUCAAAGUUCAUCAAAUCCCAACAAACACACCGCAAAAAGAGUUACAUCAAAUAGAUCUCCAAUAGACCAUUGUAUUGAGAAUCAAAAGAGAGAGAUGAAGCCAUCUGUCUACUAACUACGGACCCGUAGGUCUACAAUGAACUGCUCACACAUCAUCGGAGAGGCACCAAUGAGGAUGAUGAACCCCUCCGUGAUGGUGUGUAGAUUGGAUCUGAUGGUUCUGGAACUUGCGGUGGCUGGAAUUGAUUUUCGUUGACUCCCGUAGGAUUUCUGGAAUAUUUGGGUAUUUAUAGAGCAAAGAGGCAGUGCGGGUUGCCACUGAGGUGGGCACAACCCACUUGGGCGCGCCUGGGCCCCCAGGCGUUCCCUGGUAGGUUGUCCUCCCCUCGGAGCACCCCUCUGGUACUUCUUUGGCCCAACAAGUAUCUUCUGGUCUAGAAAAAAUCUCCAAAAAUUUUCGCUGCGUUUGGACUCCGUUUGGUAUUGAUUUUCUGCGAAGUAAAAAACAAGCAAAAAACAGCAACUGGCACUGGGCACUAUGUCAAUAGGUUAGUCCCAAAAAAUGAUAUAAAGUUGGUAUAAAAUGAUUGUAAAACAUCCAAGAAUGAUAAUAUAACAGCAUGGAACAAUAAAAAAAUUAUAGAUACGUUGGAGACGUAUCAGAGCCCAACGCCUCACACACAUGCGCGUAUGUGUACGAGAGAAACGCGCAAACCUCCAUGAAUUUCUCGGCCCCGACCACCCACCGUAACCGGGAACUCCCAGAUAUUUUCCUCGCCCUCGCUUCUACCACCUUUUUUUCCAUCAUGGAAGGCCCAAAGAAUGUCAUGCAGCUGUGUCUCCGGCCCGCCCAGGAUGAAAAGCCCAUUUUCUGUCAUGAUUUUUUGUCAUAGAAGUAGGAGCCCACCAUGAUGAUACCGGGUUUUGUCAUAAUUAUCGUCAUAGAAGUGUCAUAAGCAUAACAGAAAAACAUCGUUCGGCCCAAAAUGUCACAGAUGUGUCUUUUUUUUGUAGUGCAAGUUGUCUAAGUGAUAUAUGAUCCAAAUCAACUAACCCAUGUCCGAUCAUCACGUGAUAUGGGGUAGUCAUCAAUGGUGAACAUCUCCAUGUUGAUCAUAUCUACUGUAUGACUCAUGUUCGACCAUUCGGUCUCCUGUGUUUCGAGGCCAUGUCUGUACAUGCUAGGCUCGUCAAUUUUAAGUCAAGUAUUCUGCAUAUGUAAAACUGGCUUACACAUGUUGUAUGCGAACAUAGAGUCUAUCACACUCGACCAUCACGAGGUGCUUCGAAACGACGAACUUUUUCAACGGUGCAUACUUAGGGAGAACACAAUUUCUUGAAAUUAAGUGAAGGGAUCAUCUUAUAAUGCUACUGUCGUCCUGAGAAAAAUAAGAUGCAUAAAAAGAUAAACAUCACAUGCAAUCAAUAUGUGACAUGAUAUGGCCAUUAUCACCUCGUGCCUUUGAUCUCCAUCUGCAAAGCACCGGCAUGAUCUCCAUCGUCACUGGCAUGAUACCAUGAUCUCCAUCAUCAUGAUCUCUAUCAUCGUGUUGUCACGUGGUCGUCUCGUCAACUAUUGCUUCUACAACUAUUGCUAAUGCUUAGUGAUAAAGUAAAGCAAUUACAUGGCGAUUAAUACAUUAAAGACAACCCUAUGGUUCCUGUCGGUUUCCCAAAUCAUCGACAUGCAAGUCGUGAAUCUAUUACAAAACAUGAUCAUCUCAUACAUCAACAUAUACCACAUCACGUUUUUUGGCCAUACCACAUCACAACAGGCCCUGCAAAAACAAGUUAGACGUCCUCUACUUUGUUGUUGCAAAUUUUACGUGGCUGCUAUGGGCAACUAGCAAGAACUGUUCUUACCUACGCAAAGCCACAACGGUGAUAAUCAAGCUGCCUUUUAACCUUCUACAAGGAUCACCUUCGUCAAAUUGGAUUCAACUAAAGUAGGAGAGAUAGACACCCACUAGCCACCUUAUGCAAAACAAGUUGGAUGUCAGUCGGUAGAACCGGUCUCAUGUGCGAGCACAUGUAAAGUUGGUCUGAACUGCUGAAUACAAAUAAGACAAGAGAGGUAAGCAGUUUGAGCAUCAACGCCCACAACUCUUUGUGUUCUACUCAUGCAUAUACAUCUACGCAUAGACCUAGAUCAUGAUGCCACUAUUGGGGAACGAAGCAUGAAAAUCAAAAAAUUUCCUACGAACACCCAAGAUCUAUCUCGGAGAAGCAUAGCAACGAGAGGGGAGAGUGUGUCUAUGUACCAUCGUAGAACGUUAAGCGGAAGUGUAUAUCACGCGGUUGACGUAUUUGUACUCGUCACGAUCCAAACCGAUGAAGUACCGAACGGAUGGCACCUCCGUGUUCAGGGACACGUACGGCUCGAUGACGUCUCCUCUUCCUUGAUCCAGAAAGCAAGGGAGGAGAAGUAGAUGGGAUCACCGGCAGCAUGACAGCGUGAUGGUGAUGGUGGUGGAGUGAUUCCGGCAGGGCUACGCCGAGCGCUACCGAAACAACGAAGACAGAGGAGUUACGAAGUAACGGGAUAGAGAGACCCCCUCCCCUCUAUACAUAGGUGGAGGGGCGUGGUGAGCAUCCCUCUAGGCCCUAGGGGCGCACCAAGGGGGAGGAGUUGGGCUCCUAGUCCAAUUCACUCCUUUUCCAUGCACAGGUGGACUUUCCACCUCUCCCAUGCCACAUGGGCCUUGAGGGACUUGUGCGCCUGGCCCAAUAAGGCCAGGGUGCCUCUUCUUAGACUAUGCUAGCCCUUGGGACAUGGUGGAACCCCUGGUGGACUUCCGGACUCCUCCGGAAGUUUUCGGAACCUUCUAGAGCUUCCUAGUACAAUACCGAAAAAACUGAAACUUUUUCCGAAACCCUGAAAGUCACUUUCCAUAUAUAAAUAUUUACCUCUAGACCAUUUCGGAGCUCCUCGUGAUGUCCGGGAUCUCAUCUGGGACUCCGAGCAACAUUCAGUCACCAACAUGCAUAUUGCAAUGUUACUCUAGCGUCACCGAACGUUAAGCGUGCGGACCCUAAGAGUUCGAGAAUCAUGUAGACAUGACCGAGACACCUCUCUGAUCAAUAACCAAUAGCGGAACCUGGAUGCCCAUAUUGGUUACUACAUAUUCCAUGAAGAUAUUUUAUCGGUUGAACCAAGAUGUCAAGGAUUUAGUUAAUCCCAUAUGCAAAUACCUUUGUCCGGCGAUAUGUUAUUUGCCCGAGAUUCGAUCAUCGGUAUCUCCAUACCUAGUUCAAUCUCGUUACCGACAAGUCUAUUUACUCUUUCCAUAAUGCAAGAUCUCAUGACUAACUCAUUAGCCACAUUGCUUGCAAGCUCUUUAUGAUGUUGUAUUACCGAGAGGGCCCAAAGAUAUCUCUCCGUCAUACGGAGUGACAAAUCCCAGUCUCGAUCCAUGCCAACCCAACAGACACCUUCAGAGAUACGUGUAGAGCAUCUUUAUGAUCACCCAGUCAUGAAGUGAUGUUUGAUAGCACACAAGGUAUUCCUCCCGUAUCCGGGAUUUGCAUGAUCUCAUGGUCUUAGGAAUAGAUACUUGACAUGAAGAAAGCUAUAGCAAUAAACUCAAGUGAUACGGUCGAAUGCUAAGCUUACGAUUGGGUCUUGUCCAUGACAUCAUUCUCCUAAUGACGUGAUCCCUUUGUCAAAUGAAAACUUGGUUAGGAAACCUUAACCAUCUUGGAUCAACGAGCUAGUCUAGUAGAGGCUCACUAGGGACAUAGUAUUUGUUUAUGUAUUCACACUUGUAUCUAAGUGUCCGGUCAAUACAAUUCUAGCAUGCAUAAUAAAACUUUAUCAUGAACAAAGAAAUAUAAUAAUAACCAAUUUAUUAUUGCCUCUAGGGCAUAUUUACAACACCUGGCACCGUACCUUUUGCUUCAUGGGCCGUGCGUUGGGGCACACGGCUAAGUGGUGCUCGAUCACCUCCCUCGGUACACCGAACAUGUCUGAUGCUGUCUAGGCGAACAUAUCAGCAUUUGCCCAGAGGAAGGCGACGAGCGCGUCUUACUAUUUGGGGGAGAGGCUGGCCUCGAUGGUGAGGGUGGGGCCCGAGCCACUGACAUCCAGCGACACCUUCGUCUCCGUGCAAACCUUCGAGAAUCACGACUUCUUCUUCGCGGGGGCGGCCUCAGAAGGCCCUGCUUCGUCUUCGUUUGCCGGGUACGCAGUGGCGGCAGCCUUGUUGGUGUGCUUGAGGGUCUGCAUGGCAUCCUUCUCAUCGCAGCGGACGAUGAUGGUCCUGCUGCAGCCCAACAUCUUGACUAUGUUGUAGGGGUGGUGGGUCACUACGAUGAACUUGGCGAGCAUCGGGUAGCCCAAGAUGGCGUUGUAGGACAGGCCAAUGUGCGCCACGCCGAAGUCGAUGAUCUUAGUGUGGUAGUUCUUGCUAGAGCCGAAGGUGACAGGGAGUCGCACUUGCCCGAGGGGCACCAUGGAGCUGUCGGUCACCCCCGAGAAGGGCCUCGUGGGCAUCAAGCACCCGUAGGGCACCUAGAGCAUCUCGAAGGUUUCCACGGAGAUCACGUUGAGGUCGGCGGCGCCGUCGAUGAGUGUCUUGGUGACUGCCACGUUGUUGAUGGUAGGUGUUCACAACAGAGGGAUGAUGCCCAAGGACUUUGUAGACUUGGGACGGUCACCGUAGUCGAAGCCAAUGGGGUACUGUGACCACUUGAGGGGCUUGACGUCUGCAGGCUCCGGGAGGGCUACGUUCACCUCACGGGAGAACUCCUUGAAGUGGCAGUUGGAUGGGGGAGCCUGAGCUCCGCCAAGGAUGCAGGCCACCGUGCGAGGCUCCUGGUAGCCCCCGGCGUCCUCCUCAAGCAGGUUGUCAUUGUUCCUGUUGGGGCGCGACAGGGCCGCGUUGGCCUCCUGAGGCUGGUUUUGCCAACCCACUACAAAAAAAUACACUUCCGUGAUGAUGCGUGUUCGUCACAGUAGGUCACGUUUUCUGUCAUGCAUGUACAUCCAUGACAAAUUUAUGACAGAAUCAAGAUAGUCAUACCUGUGCUGUCGUAGAAGUGUUCCAUGACAUUACCAAAAUUAUCAUCACGGAAGUGUCCACUUCCAUGACGAUAAAUCGUGCGUCACAGAAGUGCUUUCGUCAAGGGUGACCGACACGUGGCAUCCACCGUAACGGAACGCCGUUAAGCUAUCGGGUCCGGUUUUGGAUCCGAUAACCCAUUAACAGCCCCGACCAAUGGGGAUUUUCCACGUGUAAAAUCAUCAUUGGCUGGAGGAAACACGUGUCGGCUCACCGUUGGGACAGAUGGCAUCCACUCAUUGGACCCAAAGCAUCUAUGAUACGUCGACACGUGGCACGGCCCAACAGAGGGCCAUUCCUGUGAAAAGGUCGGCCCGUUUGACUUGGUCAAAAGGUGGCGGGCCGGCCCACGGCAAGCCUGUUAACGGCAUGUUCGCAUAUAGCCCAUUUAUAGCCCGCUAACCCAGGGCCCGUUUACGGCCUAUCCGAAUUAGGCCCAGUAGUGUCAUCUGGGCCGUCCAAUAUAAUUCCAGCCCGUUUUAACUUCCAGCCCAUGUAUGGCCCAUGACGUCUUUCGGCCCAUAUGAGGCCCUUAUUACUCUCGGCCCAUUAACGGCCCGUGGUAAAACUGGCCCGUAAUGAACAGUGUAUCACUUUAUACCCAUUAACGGCACGUGGUGAAACUGGCCCGUAAUGAACAGUGUAUCACUUUAUACCCAUUAACAACCCAUUAUUCUGUUGGGCCGUUUCCAGCCCAUGUUAUCUUUCAGCCUUCUCGGGGCCCAUUUAUUCUUGGGCUCAUUUCCACAUUCGUUUACUUACGACCCGUUAUUGUCAUUUUCUGCUUGUGGGCCAAAUUCAGCCCGUGGUUACAGUCGGCCCGUUUGUGUCCCGUUAAUACGUUGGGCCGUUUUCAUAGCGACAUCAAAAUACGGCCGAUUAACGACGGCCCGUUAUGGUCGGCCCAUGAACGGACGAUUUCAACUCUAGCCCAUUUACGACCAUAGUGUGGUCUGUUAUUGGCCCAUGUUUGGCCAACCGAUCAUAAGCCCGUAGAAGGCCCAUUGAUGAUACGGCCCAUUGUGUCUACGGCCCGUAUAAGGCCCAUUGUUUCUAUGCCACGUAGAAGGCCCAUUGUUUCUACGGCCCGUAGGAGGCCCAUGUUAACUACAGCCGGUGGGCAUCAAAGUUCGCCACCAGUGCAAAUAUAGGGAACACCCUACACUAUACAAAAUGGCUUGCUUUUUUCUUCAGCCGGUGGCUGCACGUUAAGAACAAAUUUUGUAUCGCACCAAAACAAAUUACAACUAUAAAACAAAAGGAAGGUUGGCAUAAAAGUUAACAGUCUAGCAGAUAAAUGCACCACCAGAAGUUCAGAAGCUCAGUUCAUUUGACCUGACUGUUACAUUUUCAUGCUGUAUUGUCCGAUGGAGCACCAUAACCUUCGCCUUCAGUUCUCCUAGGCUCCUGAACAAGAUAGCAAAUGUCUGAUAGUCUGGUUUCAAAACCAUGCAUAUCUUGACAACAUCGAAUGUCUCUCCUUGUUUCACAAAGGGUCUCUGUUAGGGAAUGGACUUGUGUCUGGAGCGCAGAUUCAACAUUGUUUUGAGCUUGCAUAUCUUGAUCAUGAGGCAGUUUGGACGAGAUUGCCUUAACAACCAAGCCAGUAUUACGCAGGAACGUGCUUUUGGCACUGUUAGUGGACAGGUACUGACCCACUGCAGCAAGAGCUGACAUUGCAGUUAUAGUUGCCUCGCCACCUUCAGAAGGUGGCGGUUCCACCAUUUUUUCCAUAGCUCGCUAAAAAGUUGUGGUUUUACAUUAGUAGUACCAGAACAGAAGAUAUUAAGGAGGCAGCAAAACCAAACAAAAU